AACGAACGCUGGCGGCAGGCUUAACACAUGCAAGUCGAGCGCCCCGCAAGGGGAGCGGCAGACGGGUGAGUAACACGUGGGAACCUACCCUUUUCUGCGGGAUAGCUCUGGGAAACUGGAAUUAAUACCGCAUACGCCCUACGGGGGAAAGAUUUAUCGGAGAAGGAUGGGCCCGCGUUGGAUUAGCUAGUUGGUGGGGUAAUGGCCUACCAAGGCGACGAUCCAUAGCUGGUCUGAGAGGAUGAUCAGCCACAUUGGGACUGAGACACGGCCCAAACUCCUACGGGAGGCAGCAGUGGGGAAUAUUGGACAAUGGGGGCAACCCUGAUCCAGCCAUGCCGCGUGAGUGAUGAAGGCCUUAGGGUUGUAAAGCUCUUUCACCGGUGAAGAUAAUGACGGUAACCGGAGAAGAAGCCCCGGCUAACUUCGUG
rnacentral:rRNA from 2 species